CCGUUGCCUUUGAGCCUCCGCUGCGCUGCGCUUGCCGGUGACGUUGCCAGGGGUGGGGGACCGGGGUAGGGGUGUUGUCAGGCUGCAGCGCCAGAGCACCAGCUUGCGCAUAACUGGGGCUGUCUGCUCUCUGCCUGCAGGCCCUUUUAAUCGCAAGUGACAGGG
ensembl:snoRNA